CCACUAUUUCCUUGGUGCUGAACUCCAGAGCAGCCUGUAUUUUAAAGGAAGACAAUGGGGAAUGGCAGGUGCAUAGAACUAGAGUUUGACCAGGACUUGAGAAAAAGAUUGCUGACCACUGACCUAGAGAUUCAGCCAUGGAUACCUUUGCUCAAAGCAGAGAAAAGCACAAUGUAGUAUUAGAAUG